rnacentral:tRNA from 1 species
UCCCAUGUGGUCUAGUGGUCAGGAUUCCUGGUUUUCACCCAGGCGGCCCGGGUUCAAUUCCCGGUGUGGGAA